GGACCUUCAGGGUUUCACAGUCAGCUCACCACUAUGAAUAGUGAAAAGAAUGCCCCUUGACUAUUAUAAAAAAGAGGCCUGUAGAUACAAGAUUCAAGGUCAGCUGUGUUGUAGAGGGGAGUGGUGGAAAGAAAAGUAAACUGUUUUUGUUUUGUUUUUUUUUGAGCUCUGUUAUAUACUAGAAUUAAUUAUAGAUACAGGAAAUGUACUAUCUAGGUUCUCAAAGUUCAAUUCACAUAUUCUUAUAUUUUCAUUAAAUUAUACAUGCUUGCACAAAAGUCAGAAGGCAUAUCUUAUUGAAAUAAUAAUUCUUCAUCAUUUUGUUGUUAUUAAAAAUAGGAUCUUGUUCCCCCUGUGUAUUCUAAUUUUAUUAAGAUAACACAUAUGAACCAUAUAUUAAGCCAUGUUACUCAACGUCUCUACUGU
rnacentral:lncRNA from 1 species